rnacentral:rRNA from 1 species
UACAGAGGGGGCAAGCGUUGUUCGGAAUUACUGGGCGUAAAGGGCGCGUAGGCGGCCGCCUAAGUCAGACGUGAAAUCCCUCGGCUCAACCGGGGAACUGCGUCUGAUACUGGGUGGCUUGAAUUCGGGAGAGGGAUGCGGAAUUCCAGGUGUAGCGGUGAAAUGCGUAGAUAUCUGGAGGAACACCGGUGGCGAAGGCGGCAUCCUGGACCGGCACUGACACUGAGGAGCGAAAGCCAGGGGAGCAAACAUG